AGAGUUUGAUCCUGGCUCAGGAUGAACGCUAGCGGCAGGCCUAAUACAUGCAAGUCGAACGGUGGUAGCAAUACCAUAGUGGCGCACGGGUGCGUAACACGUAACUAACCUACCUAGUAACUGGGGGAUAGCCCGCCGAAAGGCGGAUUAAUACCGCAUAAGCUACUUGGGUGGCAUCACCUAGAUAGUAAAGAUUUAUUGGUUAUAGAUGGGGUUGCGGGUCAUUAGCUAGUUGGUAAGGUAACGGCUUACCAAGGCGACGAUGACUAGGGGAGCUGAGAGGCUGGUCCCCCACACGGGCACUGAGAUACGGGCCCGACUCCUACGGGAGGCAGCAGUAGGGAAUAUUGGGCAAUGGGCGAGAGCCUGACCCAGCCAUGCCGCGUGCAGGAAGAAGGCUUUCUGAGUCGUAAACUGCUUUUGACAGGGAAGAAUAAGCUGGACGCGUCCAGUGAUGACGGUACCUGCAGAAUAAGCACCGGCUAACUCCGUG
rnacentral:rRNA from 1 species